AAGGACAAAAUUCUGUAUUUUACACACUGUCUGAAACAUGGAAACUUAUUACAUCAGAAACAUAUUACAUCUUGAGAAACCACAUCAUUGGAUUCAAGUGUGACAAAGGUUUUUCUUAAGCCUGUUAUUGAAGACUUAAGCAUGGAAUUGGC